rnacentral:sRNA from 1 species
AAGCUCCUGAGACGUUCGAUAACCUAUAAUUUUGAACCUACAGAUGGAAAAUGGGAGUCCAAUAUUUGAGUACCUGCGCCAGGCCGCAAGCUAAUUCCCUUUGGGCGGCGGAAGGCGUCAGCUAUUCGUGCGGACACCCCCCUAGCGCGAGCUAGGUGUCAAAAUAUAGGACCGGCGCCUUGGGGCUUU